GGCUCGGUAGCGCUGGGAGCGUGUCUGCAUCUGCUGUCAGUUUGUUCGUCCUUUGUCCUUAAUUAAUGCAGAAGGUGCCUGUUCGACUCGGGCCUGAGCCA